UUACGGGAGGCAGCAGUAAGGAAUCUUCCACAAUGGGCGAAAGCCUGAUGGAGCAACGCCGCGUGCAGGAUGAAGGCCCUCGGGUCGUAAACUGCUUUUAUGAGUGAAGAAUAUGACGGUAACUCGUGAAUAAGCACCGGCUAACUACGUGCCAGCAGCCGCGGUAAUA
rnacentral:rRNA from 1 species